UGAGGAGUAUUGGUCAAUGGGCGGGAGCCUGAACCAGCCAAGCCGCGUGAGGGAGGAAGGCCCUAUGGGUCGUAAACCUCUUUUGUCAGGGAACAAAAGCGAGUAUGUAUACUAGUCUGAGUGUACCUGAAGAAAAAGCAUCGGCUAACUCCGUGCCAGCAGCCGCGGUAAUACGGAGGAUGCGAGCGUUAUCCGGAUUUAUUGGGUUUAAAGGGUGCGUAGGCGGCGGUGCAAGUCAGCGGUAAAAGCCCGGGGCUCAACCCCGGCGAGCCGUUGAAACUGCAGUGCUAGAGAAGGCGAGAGGUACGCGGAAUGCGCAGUGUAGCGGUGAAAUGCUUAGAUAUUGCGCAGAACUCCGAUUGCGAAGGCAGCGUACUGGCGCCUGACUGACGCUGAGGCACGAAAGCGUGGGGAUCGAACAGGAUUAGAUACCC
rnacentral:rRNA from 1 species